rnacentral:rRNA from 1 species
GAUGAACGCUAGCUACAGGCUUAACACAUGCAAGUCGAGGGGAAACGAUAUUGGAAGCUUGCUUCCGAUAGGCGUCGACCGGCGCACGGGUGAGUAACGCGUAUCCAACCUGCCCAUCACUUGGGAAUAACCUUGCGAAAGUAAGACUAAUGCCCAAUGACAUUUAUAGAAGGCAUCUGAAAUGAAUUAAAGAUUUAUCGGUGAUGGAUGGGGAUGCGUCUGAUUAGCUUGUUGGCGGGGUAACGGCCCACCAAGGCGACGAUCAGUAGGGGUUCUGAGAGGAAGGUCCCCCACAUUGGAACUGAGACACGGUCCAAAACUCCUACGGGAGGCAGCAGUGAGGAAUAUUGGUCAAUGGGCGAGAGCCUGAACCAGCCAAGUAGCGUGCAGGAAGACGGCCCUAUGGGUUGUAAACUGCUUUUAUAAGGGAAUAAAGUGAGUCUCGUGAGACUUUUUGCAUGUACCUUAUGAAUAAGGACCGGCUAAUUCCGUGCCAGCAGCCG